AAUAUGUUACAAUGUGGGCAACCCUGAUCCAGCCAUGCCGCGUGUGUGAAUAAGGACUUCGGUUUGUCAAGCACUUUAAGUUGGGAGGAAGGGAGUUAGGUUAAUACCAUGAAGUUUUGACGUUACCACCAGAAUAAGUACCGGCGAACUCUCUGCCAGCAGCCGCGGUAAUACAGAGGGUGCAAGCGUUAAUCGGACUUACUGGACGUAAGGCGCGCGUAGGUGGUUCAGUAAGAUGGGUGUGAAAUCCCCGGGCUUAACCUGGGAACUGCUUUCAUAACUGCUGAGCUAGAGAACGGUAGAGGGUAGUGGAAUUUCCUGUGUAGCGGUGAAAUGCGUAGAUAUAGGAAGGAACACCAGUGGCGAAGGCGACUACCUGGACUGAUACUGACACUGAGGUGCGAAAGCGUGGGGAGCAAAC
rnacentral:rRNA from 1 species